GGGAUUAUAGUAUAGUGGUCAGUAUAUCUCAUUGUGGUGCCCAAUCACAUGGUCUGAGACGACGCAGGUUCGAUUCCUGCUAAUCCCA